rnacentral:rRNA from 1 species
GACGAACGCUGGCGGCGUGCUUAACACAUGCAAGUCGAACGGAAAGGCCCUGCUUUUGUGGGGUGCUCGAUUGGCGAACGGGGGAGUAACACGUGAGUAACCUGCCCUUGACUUUGGGAUAACUUCAGGAAACUGGGGCUAAUACCGGAUAGGAUCUCCUGCUGCAUGGUGGGGGUUGGAAAGUUUCGGCGGUUGGGGAUGGACUCGCGGCUUAUCAGCUUGUUGGUGGGGUAGUGGCUUACCAAGGCUUUGACGGGUAGCCGGCCUGAGAGGGUGACCGGCCACAUUGGGACUGAGAUACGGCCCAGACUCCUACGGGAGGCAGCAGUGGGGAAUAUUGCACAAUGGGCGGAAGCCUGAUGCAGCAACGCCGCGUGCGGGAUGACGGCCUUCGGGUUGUAAACCGCUUUCGCCUGUGACGAAGCGUGAGUGACGGUAAUGGGUAAAGAAGCACCGGCUAACUACGUG